rnacentral:lncRNA from 1 species
CUAGUUGAUGUUUAUUUUUUUAGACAUAGUGUCUUCACUCCCUAUCCCAUUUUCCAACAUAGGGUCUCCACACCCUAGUUGAUAUUAUUUUAGACAUAAAGUCUCCACUCCCUAGUCUCUUUUCCAACAUAGGGUCUCCACUCCCUAUUUGAUGUUAUUUUAUACAUAAGAUCUCCAAUCCCUAGUCUCUUUUCCAACAUAUGGUCUCCACUACCUAGUUGAUGUUAUUUUAGACAUAGGGUCUCCACUCCCUAGUCGACUUUUCAAACAUAGGGUCUCCACUCCAUAGUAGAUUUUUAUUCUUUAAACAUAGGAUCUCCACCCCUUAGUCUCUUUUCCAAUAUAGGGUCUCCACUCCCUAGUUAAUGUUAUUUUAGAUAUAGGUUCUCCACUCCCUAGUUGAUGUUAUUUUAAACAUAGGUUCUCCACUCCCUAGUCUAUUUUCCAACAUAGUGUCUCCACUCCCUAGUUGAUGUUAUUUUAGACAUAGGGUCUACAAUCCCUGGUUGAUGUUAUUUUAUACAUAGGAUCUCCAAUCCCUAGUGUCUUUUCCAACAUAGGGUCUCCACUCCCUAGUUGAUGUUAUUUUAGACAUAAGGUCCCCACUCCCUAGUCUCUUUUCCAACAUAGGGUCUCCACUUCCUAGUUGAUGUUAUUUUAUACAUAGGGUCUCCACUCUCUAAUCUCUUUUCCAACAUAGGGUCUCCACUCCCAAGUUGAUUUUAUUUUCGACAUAGGUUCUCCACUCCCUAGUGUCUUUUCCUACAUAAGGUCUCCAUUCCCUAGUUGAUAUUAUUUUAGAC